rnacentral:rRNA from 1 species
ACCAGACUCCUACGGGAGGCAGCAGUGGGGAAUAUUGCACAAUGGGGGAAACCCUGAUGCAGCGACGCCGCGUGAGUGAAGAAGUAUUUCGGUAUGUAAAGCUCUAUCAGCAGGGAAGAAAAUGACGGUACCUGACUAAGAAGCCCCGGCUAACUACGUGCCAGCAGCCGCGGUAAUACGUAGGGGGCAAGCGUUAUCCGGAUUUACUGGGUGUAAAGGGAGCGUAGACGGCAUGGCAAGUCAGAUGUGAAAGCCCGGGGCUCAACCCCGGGACUGCAUUUGAAACUGUCAGGCUGGAGUGCAGGAGAGGUAAGUGGAAUUCCUAGUGUAGCGGUGAAAUGCGCAGAUAUUAGGAGGAACACCAGUGGCGAAGGCGGCUUACUGGACUGUAACUGACGUUGAGGCUCGAAAGCGUGGGGAGCAAACAGGAUUAGAUACCCGUGUA